rnacentral:lncRNA from 1 species
AAAAAAAAGAAAACCUAGCAGGGCAAGCAAAACAACAGUUUUCAUUCUAUUGCUGAUAUGGACUUGAGGUAGCAGGCAAUUACGUACACGCGUGUUGGAGAGGCGCGUGCGAGAGUGGCGCGUGCGAGGAUUAGUUACUAAGAACGCUUAUUGUUUCUCUUUCCUCGUGUUACCAAGCAAAAACCCAUUCUAUGAAGACUUCUAAGUCCUAAAAUUUGAUUUAACUCGGACGGUGUCAGCAAAUCGAUUCAACUCCUUUACCCGACGCAGGGAUUUAGAAAUUUUGGAGGGUUGACAAAUCUUGGGGUGGCGUGACAUUUUGUAAAAUGAAACCUUCGAUUCCGCUCGAGUGCUUCUGAUCUCGUGAUAAUUGCAGACUUCGAUCUGUUCAGACAACACCCUGUCUGCUGAAGGAGCGGUUUUCUAUUUUAUCUGUGGAUAAAAUGGACAUGAACUGAUUCUAGAAGGAAUUUCCUGUUCAUGGCCACAGUUAUACGUAGAAGAGACUGAUUCUGGCCACAAGAGAAGCUUUAACUUUUCAGUUGUACAAACUCCUUGGUGACUGACUGAUACUGGCUCGUUUUCAAGUGAGUUAAAAAGAAACGGCACGACCAUAGACCUUCUCUGCAAGAAUAAAAACAGCUGCACGACUACAGAACUUCUCUGCAAGGAAUCUCGUGUUCAUGGCCACAGUUAUACGUAGAGGAGACUGAUUCUGGCCAGAAGAGAAGGUUUAACGUUUCAGGUAAGCAGGAUGAGUGAAAUAAAAUAAUGAAACGUGAGCACAUUUGAUGGACGAGCAAAAUUCGGUAGCGCUAACAUUAGCAACAAAGACGGUAAACACCUUACACAUUUUCACACACAUUUGUUAAUUGUUGAGAUGAUUUUAAUUCAAUAUCCAAAAAUUUGUGAGCUGCCUUUCAUUCAUAAUGAGCAGUUUAGUUCCAAGAUUAUAUACAACGAAACACGUACGUACUCAAAGAACUUAAAGGGGAAGUCGUGGAAUGUGAAAUCUAACCCGUUUCUACGUUUCUUCAACAUUGAUCUUGAUUGAUUCGGUUAUCCUAAUCAAACUCAUCAGCAUUUGUCAGGAAACAGUUUCAUCUCCAGGGGUAGAACCUUAGUAGAUCAAUUGCCAGCGAACUUUAGCAAAAUCAAAUCAACCUAAAUCGUGAUUUCAGUUGCAUUUUCAAAAUAAUGCAAAAGUUUACUUCACAACAAAAGACGAGGGCCACAUAAUUUUGCAGAUACUCUGAUAGAAAUCCACACAACUUAGGACUUCACAAAUCUUUAUUUCCUUCAGAGAACUGUAUACUUUCUGUACUUUCACAAUCUUGACAAUCUUUUCGACACACGAGUUUGUGUUCUCUCUCACAGUUUACAAUAAAAAAUCUAGCACCUUCUCACCCUCUCUCACAUGACUUAUCUGUCAAUCAACUUGAAGCAUGUGACCGGAUACGUGACGUGUAAUGCAACUACGGGUUUCAGACACUCUCCCCCCUCUUGACUCGUAUGAGUCAAGAAUACAACCACAAGGUCAGUCGUUCUCUUGAUUUGCCAGGCUGCUUAUCCU